UGUUCUUUUCUCUCUCUCGAACCUUCCAGCCAUUUCAUUAGCUUCCAAUUCUACUUCACCUUUCAUCACACGUUUUCUUUGUUUUUCCAAUUCCAAUCAACAAAUUCUUUUAUUGAAUCAUGCAAGCAUGAGUAAAAUGGUACAACUUGGCAAACCAACCUCAUAAAAUGCUAUUGGGUAGUUUUUGAGAUAGGAUUUGUGUUUUAUGGAAGGAGAUGAGUACCCACCCAUUGGUAGUUGCUUAUUGAGAUUCUUAGAGAUAUGAUAUUGGACGCUUCACAUGCUUCUCUUGGAGUGGUUGGAGAUCAAACUUAGUUGAUUCGUCAUAACUAUUUUCAAGCAGCUACGUAGGAAGCUGCUAGUAGACUCAAAGUUCAGCCGUGUCACUCUUUUUGGUAGGCUUCUUUGAUGGAUGUCUCUUUUGUUUAUGUAUAUGUUGAAUCAGAGUAUCUGCAGCUAUUUGGAGUCUAGGAAUGUUUUAUUUGAGAUAUACAAAUAUGUAAAUAUUGUUUAAAUUCUGCCAAGUGUCGUCAAUAGGCUUGCCGGACUAGGAUGUUCUAGUUCGUGCGCCGGUUACGAUUGUGAAUUUGGGUCGUGACAAGUAAAUACUUGAUGUGUGAAGUAAGGGAUAGUCAAGCAACCAAAACAAAGAGAGAAUACAAAAGAAUUUGUUGACCCAUUUCGGUCCAAAUUGACCUAGUAUGGGGGAGAGAGCAGCCCUCUGUUUCACUAUAAUGAUGAGUAACGAGUAACGUUACAAAAGAGAUAUCAAUGGGUUACAAGAAUAAGUCUCCCGCCUAAUUCUACCCAAAGCCCCAAUCUCUUUCCGUGACCAAGAGACUCAAUCCUAAUAGUGUUUCCCAAGGUGAAUCAACCCUCAAACCCUAGUGUUUGUUCCCAAGAGACAAACUCUAUAUAAACCCUAGUUUUGUUGUUGCCUUUCUAAACCCUUGUUUCAGCCCCCUCUAUCUCAAGGUUUACACUGAUACAAUGUCUAUAUUUACAGUAAAAGAAUCCUCAAUAAAACUGGAACAAAUCUAGGCCCGAAAAUAUGUUUCUGUUUUAUUUUCUGAUGUCAAAAUCGGCCACCGAACUCCAUAAAUCGGCCACCAAUUUUUGCCGAACCAACAGACAAAAAACCAGAGUGUAAAAUCGACCACCGUGCCCUGAAAAUCGGCCACCGGUUUUUUGCUUCCGGAAUUCCAAUUUUGAGGCACUUUUACAAUAAGGUUGUUUGUCUGGAAAUAUAUAGGUUACUUGUUUUAGACCGAGCUAGAAAAGUCGUGUAGAUAAACUAUAAUAGUAAACUUCAAUGUGUAUAACAGAUUUGUGAGGUAGGCAUCACAAAUGAGUAUGAUAUGUCUACACCAAAUUUGUAUACCUGUUUUAUAGGUCACUUGCGUUGAUUUAUACGUUUACAAAAUUAACCAGGAAACAUGAUUCACAGCUUCCACAAUAAAUUUGACAUUUAGCAACAGCAAACAACAGCAGGUAAAUGUCAUUUUACCAUAGGUAUAGUACCAAAUAUCAUUUUACCUACGGUACUCUUUUCGUGGUCAAAAGUUUGUCAUACCUACGAUUAUUUUCCGUCACUAUAUCCUAUAGUGUCGGAAUUUUGCCCCACAAUGAGGGUUUAACUCCUUGAGCAUGUAGUCAGGGGUUGGACUCCUUGCGUACGAAAAAUCUGGUUGAAAAUCACACUCUACUGGUUUAGAUUUGUUGAACACGAUGAUUAUGGCAAUGACCUUGAAAUGGGCAAGGGAGCUUCUAAAAAUGCGUACAUUAUCAGUCUUGUUGGUGAAACGCUAACUAUUGUGGUCAACCUCAAGUAUCAAAUGUGGAGGACCGAACCAACCUAAACCGCAUUUCGUUUGGAGGAUGUACACACAGGGACGAAGCCAGAAAAAUAUAUCGAGGAGGGCGGAAAUAUUAGACACGAUAAAUAAAAUAAACAAUAACAAACGUCUUCUAUUUUUUUUUAAGA
rnacentral:lncRNA from 1 species